GAGGCAUUGCUUGGAUUUAUUCCUAGCUAUGGGAAGAUAUGUUAUUUAUUGCUCAAUGGACAACUAUGUUUCUUCGAGCUUAUCCACUGACGGUUGAAGUGGGCACUGACACCUUAAAUUGGGACCAGAGGCUAGUUGAACCACCCAACUUUCAUCUUUCUCCCCUUCGACGCUAUGGCACCAACUUUAGCACAAAUUAAGAUCAGAGUGAAGGAGAGGAGGACCUUCAUAAGAGUAGUCCGGG
rnacentral:lncRNA from 1 species